rnacentral:tRNA from 1 species
UGGUCGGUUCGCCCGUGUGGCAGGACGUGGCGCCGCUGUCGCGGCACGUCUGGGUGAAGAAGUCGCGGUCGUUCUCGUCGGCCUCGGCGAA